CACCUCGCGCACCUCGCGCGUCUCCUGAGGGGGCGAGGGGCGCGCGCCCGAGGCUCCAGAUUCUCCCCUCAGAAUCCCGGUUCUCCUCAGGGACACGGUUCUCCCUUCAGCAUCUCGGCUCCCUCAGCCCCCCCCGUGGGGCAGGUCUCACGUAGUCCCUAGGCCCCGGGGCUGGCAGCAAACCCAGGGGUGGGAGCAGGGCCGACCGCCUGGGCUGUGGGAAGUGACAAGGCCCCGGGUGGGAACUGGAGCCGAGGUUAUGGGAGAAGAGGUUUGGGAGCAUCAGGGCCGAGGAAUGAACAGCCGAGUGUUGGUGGUGCCACACGGAACAAGCCAUUGGCGCUGAGUGGUUUCACACUUUGCCCUGCAGAUUUCGGCUCUCGCCGUCUGGCGUCGCAGGGCUGAGCGGCAGCAGAGUUUCUCAGCAGAGGUUCCCAGCUGAGCUCUCCAGCAGACGUUUCCUUCCAUCGCGACGGUUGGGGUCACUCUUUCACAACGAGCGUUUUUCUCCCGAGCUCCAGCUGCGCUUUCCAGUAGGAGGAACCCCGAGCAUUGCAUCCUGUUAACGUGCCGGCCGGGAUUUCGAGCUCUCGGGACUCUCUUUGCUGGACAAACGCACGGUCAGCAGUAUCUCUGAUUUUAAUAGUGUAGCCAUGCAGGAAUAAGCUUUUUAUGUAGCCUCGGAAGCUCAAUAAAUUAGUGUUCAAGCUCCC